rnacentral:rRNA from 1 species
AUACAUGCAAGUCGAGCGAAUGGAUUAAGAGCUUGCUCUUAUGAAGUUAGCGGCGGACGGGUGAGUAACACGUGGGUAACCUGCCCAUAAGACUGGGAUAACUCCGGGAAACCGGGGCUAAUACCGGAUAACAUUUUGAACUGCAUGGUUCGAAAUUGAAAGGCGGCUUCGGCUGUCACUUAUGGAUGGACCCGCGUCGCAUUAGCUAGUUGGUGAGGUAACGGCUCACCAAGGCAACGAUGCGUAGCCGACCUGAGAGGGUGAUCGGCCACACUGGGACUGAGACACGGCCCAGACUCCUACGGGAGGCAGCAGUAGGGAAUCUUCCGCAAUGGACGAAAGUCUGACGGAGCAACGCCGCGUGAGUGAUGAAGGCUUUCGGGUCGUAAAACUCUGUUGUUAGGGAAGAACAAGUGCUAGUUGAAUAAGCUGGCACCUUGACGGUACCUAACCAGAAAG